UAAAAAGUAAGCUAAAUUUAAGCUUUUGGGUUCAUACCUCAACUAUAGAAAAAUUCUCUUUUUAA
rnacentral:tRNA from 1 species